AAAUUGAAGAGUUUGAUCAUGGCUCAGAUUGAACGCUGGCGGCAGGCCUAACACAUGCAAGUCGAACGGUAGCACAGAGAGCUUGCUCUCGGGUGACGAGUGGCGGACGGGUGAGUAAUGUCUGGGAAACUGCCUGAUGGAGGGGGAUAACUACUGGAAACGGUGGCUAAUACCGCAUAACGUCGCAAGACCAAAGAGGGGGACCUUCGGGCCUCUUGCCAUCAGAUGUGCCCAGAUGGGAUUAGCUAGUUGGUGAGGUAACGGCUCACCAAGGCGACGAUCCCUAGCUGGUCUGAGAGGAUGACCAGCCACACUGGAACUGAGACACGGUCCAGACUCCUACGGGAGGCAGCAGUGGGGAAUAUUGCACAAUGGGCGCAAGCCUGAUGCAGCCAUGCCGCGUGUAUGAAGAAGGCCUUCGGGUUGUAAAGUACUUUCAGCGGGGAGGAAGGU
rnacentral:rRNA from 1 species